UACGAAGGGGGCUAGCGUUGCUCGGAAUUACUGGGCGUAAAAGGGCGCGUAGGCGGAUAGUUUAGUGAGAGGUGAAAGCCCCAGGGCUCAACCUUGGAACUGCCUUUCAUACUGGCUAUCUUGAGUACGGGAGAGGUGAGUGGAACUCCGAGUGUAGAGGUGAAAUUCGUAGAUAUUCGGGAAGAACACCAGUGGGCGAAGGCGACUCACUGGCCCGUUACUGACGCUGAGGCGCGAAAAGCGUGGGGAGCGAUCCGG
rnacentral:rRNA from 1 species